AUACGGAGGGUGCAAGCGUUGAUCGGAAUUACUGGGCGUAAAGCGUACGUAGGCGGUUAUUUAAGUCAGAUGUGAAAGCCCCGGGCUUAACUUGGGAACUGCAUUUGAAACUGGGUAACUAGAGUUUAGUAGAGGGGAGUGGAAUUUCAGGUGUAGCGGUGAAAUGCGUAGAGAUCUGAAGGAACACCAGUGGCGAAGGCGACUCCCUGGACUAAAACUGACGCUGAGGUACGAAAGCGUGGGUAGCAAACAGGAUUAGAAACCCUAGUAGUCC
rnacentral:rRNA from 1 species